rnacentral:rRNA from 2 species
GGACCUCAGAUCAGGCAAGAUUACCCGCUGAGUUUAAGCAUAUCACUAAGCGGAGGAAAAGAAACUAACUAGGAUU